rnacentral:rRNA from 1 species
GCUUGUCUCAAAGAUUAAGCCAUGCAUGUCUAAGUAUAAGCCUUUACACGGUGAGACUGCGAAUGGCUCAUUAAAUCAGAAACUGUUUAUUUGAUAGUGCCUACUACUUGGAUAACCGUAGUAAUUCUAGAGCUAAUACAUGCGCCCAAACCCAACUUCUUGGAAGGGUUGUGUUUAUUAGAUACAGAACCAACCCAGGCUCCGCCUGGCCUUGAGGUGAUUCACAAUAACCGAACGAAUCGCAUAGCUGCCGCUGGCGAUAGACCAUUCAAGUUUCUGACCUAUCAGCUAUCGUCGGUAGGGUAUUGGCCUACCGUGGCAAUGACGGGUAACGGAGAAUUAGGGUUCGAUUCCGGAGAGGGAGCCUGAGAAACGGCUACCACAUCUAAGGAAGGCAGCAGG